GACGUGGUAGCUCAGCUGGUUAGAGCGCCCGUACGGGAGGUCGAGAGUUCAAGUCCCUCUCACGUAU
rfam:Saprospiraceae bacterium KD52 Scaffold1_19, whole genome shotgun sequence.